CCAGUCCUUCAGAUCUGUUGAAGUCACACAGAAACCCUUCUUUGUUUCAAUAGUCCAUUUACCUAAUUGCCUAAAUAACAGUCAAGAGGAAGUUAACUCUUAAUGUGGCUCACCUUUCUUUUCCAAGUUUCCCAAGCUUCAGGUGCUAUUUUCUCCGGCAAACUCAAAGGUAGAAAAUAUUCCUGCCUGAAGAGGAAAUUUCAUGUACAGUCUUGAGCACAGCUCAUCGGAGGAGAGAGAAAAUUCACUAUUUUUCUCAGAUGAGAGGGCUCUCUGUGAUACUUCUUGCCUUGUGCAAUCCUUUAUGGGUAAUAUAGUCCCCGUGGCUCCUGAAAUGAAUAGCUGCUCUUGAAAGUUGAUGGACUCCACCAAAGCACAAUGGGAAUGUCUUUUACAAGCACAUCCCUUGGUCUGAAGCUGGGAUCACAAAAGCUGUCCUUGAGAGGAAAGAAGUUUUACUGCAACUAUUUUUUAUGUAUAAAAAAAAUUAAAUUUGUGAAACCUUCAAGACACCUUUGUUUGAAAGUUCGGGUUCAGAGGAUGACUUUCAUGAUAAUACUAAUACUCCAAAAGGCAAAUGCCUCAGGCAGAUUUUUCACAUUGAAAGCAUCUUUCUUAC
rnacentral:lncRNA from 1 species